rnacentral:rRNA from 1 species
AUUGAACGCUGGCGGAAUGCUUUACACAUGCAAGUCGAACGGCAGCACGGACUUCGGUCUGGUGGCGAGUGGCGAACGGGUGAGUAAUGUAUCGGAACGUGCCCAGUCGUGGGGGAUAACGUAGUGAAAAUUACGCUAAUACCGCAUACGAUCUAUGGAUGAAAGCGGGGGACCGUAAGGCCUCGCGCGAUUGGAGCGGCCGAUAUUAGAUUAGGUAGGUGGUGGGGUAAAGGCUCACCAAGCCGACGAUCUGUAGCUGGUCUGAGAGGACGACCAGCCACACUGGAACUGAGCCACGGUCCAGACUCCUACGGGAGGCAGCAGUGGGGAAUUUUGGACAAUGGGCGCAAGCCUGAUCCAGCAAUUCCGCGUGCAGGAUGAAGGCCCUCGGGUUGUAAACUGCUUUUGUACGGAACGAAAAGGUCCUGGUUAAUACCUGGGGCUCAUGACGGUACCGUAAGAAUAAGCACCGGCUAACUACGUGCCAGCCGCCGCCGUAA